CCCAUUUCCUAGAGCUGGAAUAAAAUAUCCAUGUUUUAUGGGACUUGAGCUUGGCUUUGUCCCUUGGUUUUGUUAAUGUUAAUUCCUCUUAAAUAUCUAAAAACAUCUCUACCUAUUUGAGAGGGCCAUAUGCUACACAGGCUUCCUAAUACUGCUUAGCAAUCCUUCUACUGGUUCCUAAGUGGUUUACUAUUGUGUUCCCUGGAAGAGGUAUUACAAACGUUUUAUUCUUCUCAAGCCUCUUAGAACUGUCAAAGUUGACUGUGCCUCCUAUUUCAUAGAGAAAAAACUAAAUUAUUAGAUAUGACCAUUCCCAAAACUUCUUCCCAUCUACCUUCAAGACUUACCUCUUUUCAGCCAUGCAUCCCCCUUUUCUAAGACAUGCUUCUCUUUGUGUUCUUGACCUCAUUCCUUCCCAUCUAAGACCAUAUUCCACCCUGUUUAAUUUCUAGUCUUCGGUUUCUCUUUUUACAUUUCUUUCCUCCACCUCUACAUAGCUGCAGGUCUUCUCUGUCUUAAAUCAACAAUAACAAAACAAGACAAAAACCUUUCCUUAACUUGGCCUCUUCCCUUGAACUAUUUUUUCUCUCUCCUUCCUAUAAUUGUUAUACUUCUUUAAAAAGUAAUUGUUACUUUUUGACAAAAGUAAAUAUUGUCCCUUUUUUCCCUACUUUCAAGUCCUCUCUGUCUUGUGACAUUCUGGCCUCCAUACCUGCUUAAUUUUUUUUGAGAUGGGGUCUUGCUCUGUUGCCCAGGCUGGAGUGCAGUGGCACAAACACAGCUCACUGCAACCUCCACCUCCCAGGAUCAAGCAAUCCUCCCAUCUCACCCUCCCAAGUAGCUGGGACUAUAGGCACCCGCCACCAUGCCUAAUUUUUUGUAUUUUUGGUAGUGACAGGGUUUCACCAUGUUGUCCAGGCUGGUCUCGAACUCCUGAGCUCAAGCAUCUGUCCGACUCAGCCUACCACAGUGUUGGGAUUACAGGCGUGAGCCACCGCACCCAGCCCCUACUUGAAUUUUUAUGUCAUUAUUGACUCUUCACCACUCUCUCCUUGAGACUCACUUAUCCCUUUGCUCUCUAUUUUUCCUGCUUUUGUUAUUCUUCAUUUUUCUUCUCUUGCUCUGAAUCCCUUAAAUGCUGAGGCUGCUCAAGUUUCAUCCCUAGUCCUAUUUUCUCAUUCUAUAUGCACACUCAUUUUUCAUUUAACAGACUUCACUGGCUUCAGGCACCAUUUGUUUUAUUAUUCAUAUUUUCAACCCCCAUAUCUCUCUAGUGCUGUAGACCUUUAUUUCUACUUACUAGUUAUAUUCACCUAACAUCCCAUAGAUAUGCCAAUGUCAAUGUGCCUAAAACAAAAUUGUCUCUACCUCCCGCUCCUUCAAAUCUAUUCUGUCUUCUCUAAUCCUAUAAUUACUCUCCCUCAAGUCAUCAUCAUCACUUUUCUGGGUUACUGUAAUAGCCUUCAGGCUAAUUUGCUCACUGUCAAUCUUGCUGUCUCUCAUUUCAGAAUAUGUUCUGCUUGCAGGUGACAGUAAACUAGUUAAACAAAUAUUUAAUAUUAGCUUAAGCAAAAAAAAAAAAAA
rnacentral:lncRNA from 10 species